rnacentral:lncRNA from 1 species
UAAUCCCUUUUUGGUACAUGAUCUUUUAAGGAAAUGAUUUAUUGAUGUUUAUGUAAACCAAGCUUAAUGUAUGAUAUGUUGCCCCAUUGGAGCAUUUGAUGAGGGCUCCAGUGUGGGGUUUUAUGUUUAUGAGUUUGUGCAUGCACAGGUUAAGCUUGGUAAAUGAAAUGAAAAAGUUUAAUGUUUUAUGUAUAUGUUUGAUCAUGU